CUAACGAAUAGAUCUUCAUGAAAAACCAAGCAUAUCACGAUUAAAGAAAGUACUUAGAUACUAAAUGACGAAAUAUUUUUUCUAGUUAAGAACGAUCAAUGCAAAAUUAUUUUUAUUUUUAAUUAAAAAAGCGAACAAAAAUAGCCAUGUUAACAACUAUAAACAGCUCUAGAAUUUAAAGGAAUGCACGGGAUCUUUUUUUCCUAUUGGAUAACAAGUAUAUAUGUUUGAGGUUUGUCUUUUAAAAAGAAAAUCUUUGAAUUUUCCAAAUGUGACGACAUCAUUGACGCUUAUCUGAUUUUAAUAAAAUAAAAUUAUUUCGUUUUUGAUUUGAAUUUAAAAUGAAAUUAAUGUCUGAACAAUAUACUAAAUACAAAGCAAAAAUUUCCAGAUAAAAAAUAUUUUAUCGUUUGUUUACUCACAUAUAUAUCUUUAAUCUUAUGUUUUUUUAUUAAUUAUAUAAAAACGUCACAAGCUUACAAUUUGGAUACAGAGAUAACUCUGAAACUGCAAACUUCGAAUUUCGGGCCAAUAUGGAAUAAACUAGGUGUGGAAAUAUAAAACAAAACAACUUAACAUUUUACAAUCGACUUUAAAAACCGCAAAAGGGAAUACGAUAUUUUAAUUUAUAUACAUUUUUUUAUUAAAUAUAAUUUUUUUUAACUUUUCUUGAUAACAGCAUUCUCUGUUAAAAGGUUCUCCUAUAUGUACCGACAUCAACCGCGUGAGACAUGAACAUUCUUUGUUAACUAUAUGACCAACACAAACUGCGUAAGAAUUAUGCGCAAUAGCUUCUUUAUACAAUUCGAGUUAUUUGAGAAACUUGAAUCUAAGAAAACCAGGCUUAUUUAUUUAAUUUGGAACAGACAGGUUAAUGAUAUCAUCAAAUUCCAAUAUUUCAUCAACCGUCCGUCAAAAGCACAUCAUCAUAUUCAUUUUCUUCCUAAGCAUUUCUAGCUCUGCGCAAUAGGGACAACAGAUAUAAUAAACUAUUACCAAUUGCGAAGAAUGAAACUCUUUUUGAUUAUUAUCCAUGAUUAAAAUAAUAUGAAAGGAAAGUGUGCAAGAAGAAGUAACAUACAGCUCAUUCGUACGUCACACACAAGGGUUAUCAGACCUUAGAGCGGAAAGCCAUAUAAAUCAUGCCUUGAAGUUUGCCUGUUCGCCUUAAGUCACUAUUGUUCUGUGUACCUCUUACUUGUAGUUCGUGUCAUUGUCAAACAUUUAUUGCUCAACUUUUAUCAGAGUGUAAACGACAAGAAUGUUGGUUUGCUGCAAAGAAAAGUCAACGAGAGUCAAUCAUUUUCUAUGCUUCGUAUCAAGGUUGUAUGUAAUCAGCAUUAUGCAAUCAGCUAUAUAAAGGCUAGACUAGAAUCAGAAAAAAUUGUAAAAAGGAAAAACUAGAUCUUAAAACAAUCUUUUAUAUUAUAAAAAAAUUACAGUUGUGUAAAAACGUGAAUAUAUAUUUUUUCGUUUUGCUUUUCCUUUAUUGGAAUUUCGAAUCGUAUCCGAGUUUCUGUUUAAACCCUCCAAUUUCCUCUUCUUCUCCUUUUCAUGUCACGGAAAUUGCAAAAACCAACAUGCGUAUGCAACGUGGACUAAAUGCAAACUUGUGUCCAGGUUUUUUAAUAGGCACCGAGAACUAGCCCUUGUUCAACGGGGGUGGCUUGUGAAAUAUAUGGGUGGCAUUCCGUCUU